UGAGAAGCUUCGACUAAGGUUCGGCUCGAGCGUCAGCGAGAGAGCGUUGCCGCAGGCAACGACCCGAAGGGCGAAGCGCGCAGCGCUGAGUAAUCCUUCCCCCACCACCA
rnacentral:sRNA from 1 species